rnacentral:rRNA from 1 species
AUGAACGCUGGCGGCGUGCCUCAUACAUGCAAGUCGAGCGAACGGACGAGAAGCUUGCUUCUCUGAUGUUAGCGGCGGACGGGUGAGUAACACGUGGAUAACCUACCUAUAAGACUGGGAUAACUUCGGGAAACCGGAGCUAAUACCGGAUAAUAUUUUGAACCGCAUGGUUCAAAAGUGAAAGACGGUCUUGCUGUCACUUAUAGAUGGAUCCGCGCUGCAUUAGCUAGUUGGUAAGGUAACGGCUUACCAAGGCAACGAUGCAUAGCCGACCUGAGAGGGUGAUCGGCCACACUGGAACUGAGACACGGUCCAGACUCCUACGGGAGGCAGCAGUAGGGAAUCUUCCGCAAUGGGCGAAAGCCUGACGGAGCAACGCCGCGUGAGUGAUGAAGGUCUUCGGAUCGUAAAACUCUGUUAUUAGGGAAGAACAUAUGUGUAAGUAACUGUGCACAUCUUGACGGCACCUAAUCAGAAAGCCACGGCUAACUACGUG